CCAUCUCCCUUCUCCUAAUCUCCUGUAAGUCUGUAACAAACUCGCGAUCCAUCUUCCCAAUCCCACAUUUUUCUGCACUUAAAAAAGAGAUCUCGAUCCGUCUCCUCGUCUCCUGUACUCUGUCCCGAGCAAGCGAGGCGAGCAAAUCGAUGCGCAGCGGCGGCGAUCGAUCGAACGAAUCGAUCCGUUCCUGAUGGGUGGGCGGCAACCGGCAGGCCGCAGGCUGCUGAUCAACUAUUGAUGGUGCAGGCUGCAGCGCCGACGUGACCACACCUCCCUCACGAGUCAUGGCCACGGCGCACGCUGGAAUUUCUCUUCCCCUCUGUUAGCUAAUUAGUAAUGAUAUGAACAAGUUUCUUCUCAAGAGAAAGGCACCAUCACAUUCGCAAUUAGAGAACAGAACAGCGAACCGAAAUGUCAUACUCCAGAACUUGAGCUUCCCCAAUGAGUUACUCACUGUUUGUUUUGCUCUGUCCGAGUUGCAUGCAAUGAAUCCAAGUGGCAACUGAAUGUUGAUGUAAUGUAUGGAGAAGAUGUGAUCGCCGGAAAAAGAUGGCCUCGCCGGCAACUGGGAGACGUGUCUUGGGGUUUUCGGUGAUGGAUCGGCCUGACUGGCUAGUGCAAAAGCUUCAUUGUAGUGGCCCAGUGCAUCCCACGCUGAUAGCUAGCUACACAGUGUGGAGCCUACGGCGACAAAGUCCCGGUGGGCGGGUCAUGUGGUUUGCCGCUCUUCCCUGUUGGACACGGAAACAUGGGAUGUGCUAGCUGCACUCCACUAUUGGUAUAUUCUCUUUUUGU